GAUGAACGCUGGCGGCGUGCCUAAUACAUGCAAGUCGAGCGAAAAGACGAGGAGCUUGCUCGUCUGACGUUAGCGGCGGACGGGUGAGUAACACGUGGAUAUACUACCUAUCAGACUGGGAUAAUUACGGGAAACAGGUGCUAAUACCGGAUAAUAUAUUGAACCGAAUGGUUCAAUAGUGAAAGACGGUUUUGCUGUCACUUAAAGAUGGAUACGCACCGCAUUAGCUAGUUGGUAAGGUAACGGCUUACCAAGGCAACGAUGCGUAGGCGACCUAAAAGAGUCGACGGCCACACCGGAACCGAGACACAGCCGAGACUCCUACAGGAAGCAACAGUAGAGAAUCUUCCGCAAUGGACAAGAGCCUGACGGAGCAACACCGCGUAAAUGAUGAAGGUCUUCGGAUCGUAGAACGCUGUUAUUAAGGAAGAACAAAUGUGUAAGUAACUAUGCACAUCAUGACGGUACCUAGGCAGAAAGCCACGGCUAACUACGUA
rnacentral:rRNA from 1 species